AUGCUGGUUCUGGUGCUGCUGCUGUUGUUGAAGCUGUUGCAUCAUGGCAUAAGAAUUGCUGUUGUUAUGUGUUGGAACAUUGUUGGAUACAGCAUAGGAGUUGGCUUGUUGCUGCUGCUGUGGGUGCUGUUGUGGUUGAUGUUGUGGGUGUUGUUGGGGUUGAUGUUGUUGUUGGGGUCGUGCCAUCAUCAUAGGAUGGCCAUGUGGCGGUGUAUGUUGUUGUUGGUGGUGUUGGUUUUGGUGGUGUUGAGGGAAAGAAUGAAGAUGAGGGUGCGGGGAUUGGUGAUGGUGUUGAUUUUGGAGGUGGUGGUUUUGGUGGUGUUGAGGGAAAGAAUGAAGAUGAGGGUGCGGGGAUUGGUGAUGGUGUUGAUUUUGGUGGUGACCCGCUUGUGAUUCUUGGGAAUCCAUGGGAAUUAUUCUGGUGAGAAAAGGGAGUUUUCAAAAAUGUAAUCAAGGGAGGUGGGGGGAAGGUACUGUUUCUGUCCACUGAAUACCUACUACUGCGGAGUGAGAGUACAAAAUGAGGAAAAAGAGANNN
rnacentral:lncRNA from 1 species